UAAGGUGAUAUGAACCGUUAUAACCGGCGAUACCCGAAUGGGGAAACCCAGUGUGACUCGUCACACUAUCAUUAACUGAAUCCAUAGGUUAAUGAGGCGAACCGGGGGAACUGAAACAUCUAAGUACCCCGAGGAAAAGAAAUCAACCGAGAUUCCCCCAGUAGCGGCGAGCGAACGGGGAGGAGCCCAGAGCCUGAAUCAGCAUGUGUGUUAGUGGAAGCGUCUGGAAAGGCGCGCGAUACAGGGUGACAGCCCCGUACACAAAAGCGCAUGUGCUGUGAGCUCGAUGAGUAGGGCGGGACACGUGGUAUCCUGUCUGAAUAUGGGGGGACCAUCCUCCAAGGCUAAAUACUCCUGACUGACCGAUAGUGAACCAGUACCGUGAGGGAAAGGCGAAAAGAACCCCGGCGAGGGGAGUGAAAAAGAACCUGAAACCGUGUACGUACAAGCAGUGGGAGCACCCUUUGGGUGUGACUGCGUACCUUUUGUAUAAUGGGUCAGCGACUUAUAUUCUGUAGCAAGGUUAACCGAAUAGGGGAGCCGGAGGGAAACCGAGUCUUAAC
rnacentral:rRNA from 2 species